GGAUGUGAGGGUGACCUGGCUGCGACAUCUGCCAGCCCAUUGAUUGCUGGGGUUGAUUUGGCUGCUCUGGCAUCUGUCUAGGCAAGUGACCCUUUCCUCCCUCCCUGCUCCAUGUACAUCCUUCCUGAAACUGCAUGCUCCGCCCUGUCUAAGAGGACCUCUACCCGUGAUAGAGGAGGACCAUUUCCUCUCGGUCAAGGGGGUAGGAGUAGCUGUGUUCCCCUGCUAGAACCUCCAAACAAGCUCUCAAGAAAUAGUACAGAGUAUUGCUCAAUAUCAUCUUGAUCUAUGAAUGCAUCUAUUCUUCUCUCUUUUUGUUAUU
rfam:Heterocephalus glaber contig178277, whole genome shotgun sequence.